CAGCCGCCACGGUAAUACGUAGGGUGCGAGCGUUGUCCGGAAUUAUUGGGCGUAAAGAGCUUGUAGGUGGUUUGUCGCGUCUGCUGUGAAAAUCCGAGGCUCAACCUCGGACUUGCAGUGGGUACGGGCAGACUAGAGUGUGGUAGGGGAGACUGGAAUUCCUGGUGUAGCGGUGGAAUGCGCAGAUAUCAGGAGGAACACCGAUGGCGAAGGCAGGUCUCUGGGCCAUUACUGACACUGAGAAGCGAAAGCAUGGGGAGCGAACAGGAUUAGAGACCCCCGUAGUCCCUGUCUCUUAUAC
rnacentral:rRNA from 1 species